rnacentral:misc_RNA from 1 species
AAGGAUCAUUAUCAUGUCAUUCAGUCACGCUGCUGUGUGAACUGUAAUAAACCCACUCUGCGUAUCCUAUCCUGUUGCUUCCGCUGGGCCCUGGGGCAUUUUUUAGGAGGUUGCCAAUGAGAGCACGACAAAGAAAACCGUGCCGCGCUGGUGGCGUCCCGAGGGCUGCUCUGGACCUUAGCUGCCUGGCGGAUGGAUAAUUAAUCUCUGGAUUUACAGUUGAAUCUGUCUGAACUAUGAGCUAAAUGAAAAUUUUAAAACUUUCAGCAACGGAUCUCUUGGUUCUC